rnacentral:rRNA from 1 species
AGUGGCGGACGGGUGAGUAACGCGUGAGAAUCUGCCUUGGGGUCGGGGACAACCACUGGAAACGGUGGCUAAUACCGGAUAAGCCGAUUGGUGAAAGAUUUAUUGCCCGAAGAGGAGCUCGCGUCUGAUUAGCUAGUUGGUGAGGUAAGAGCUCACCAAGGCAGCGAUCAGUAGCUGGUCUGAGAGGACGAUCAGCCACACUGGGACUGAGACACGGCCCAGACUCCUACGGGAGGCAGCAGUGGGGAAUUUUCCGCAAUGGGCGAAAGCCUGACGGAGCAAGACCGCGUGAGGGAGGAAGGCUCUUGGGUUGUAAACCUCUUUUCUCAGGGAAGAAGCUCUGACGGUACCUGAGGAAUCAGCCUCGGCUAACUCCGUGCCAGCAGCCGCGGUAAUACGGAGGAGGCAAGCGUUAUCCGGAAUUAUUGGGCGUAAAGCGUCCGCAGGUGGCGAUUCAAGUCUGCUGUCAAAGCACGGGGCUUAACUCCGUAAAGGCAGUGGAAACUGAAUAGCUAGAGUGCCGUAGGGGUAGAGGGAAUUCCCGGUGUAGCGGUGAAAUGCGUAGAGAUCGGGAAGAACAUCGGUGGCGAAAGCGCUCUACUGGACGGCAACUGACACUCAGGGACGAAAGCUAGGGGAGCGAAUGGGAUCAGAUACCCC